rnacentral:lncRNA from 1 species
ACAUGUUAUUCGGUGGUUAGGCACGCAAUCUGCUUCCUUGAGGUUGCUGGUUCGAGCCUGCAGCUCCGCACAUAUUUUUUGAUAAAAAUAAAGCGUCCGACGUGGCCGGCCCGCGCGGCGGAGUGGCCCGACGUGGCCCGAUAAAGCGGCUGACGUGGCCGCCCCAUGCGGCGGAGCGGCCGACGUGGACGGCCCACGCGGCGGACUGGCCCGACGUGGCCAGCCCACGUGGCUGUCUGUUAGAUGACGUGGACUCAAACACAAGCACUUCUUAAAAAAAGAUCAGAUACAUUAAUAAGGUCACAAGUAGCUCGAUGGUGAAAAU